UACAGAGGUCUCAAGCGUUGUUCGGAUUCAUUGGGCGUAAAGGGUGCGUAGGUGGCGCUGUAAGUCGGGUGUGAAAUUUCGGAGCUUAACUCCGAAACUGCAUUCGAUACUGCGGUGCUUGAGGACUGGAGAGGAGACUGGAAUUCGUGGUGUAGCAGUGAAAUGCGUAGAGAUCAUGAGGAAGACCAGUGGCGAAGGCGGGUCUCUGGACAGUUCCUGACACUGAGGCACGAAGGCCAGGGGAGCAAACGGG
rnacentral:rRNA from 1 species